UACGAAGGGUGCAAGCGUUGCUCGGAAUUAUUGGGCGUAAAGGGUAGGUAGGUGGUAAUACAAGUCUGGGGUGAAAUCCCUGAGCUCAACUCAGGACGUGCCUUGGAAACUGUAUUACUAGAGUGCUGGAGAGGUCCGCAGAAUUCCCGGUGUAGCGGUGAAAUGCGUAGAGAUCGGGAGGAAUACCAGAGGCGAAGGCGGCGGACUGGACAGUCACUGACACUCAACUACGAAAGCGUGGGUAGCAAACAGG
rnacentral:rRNA from 2 species